rnacentral:rRNA from 1 species
UGGCGGACGGGUGAGUAACGCGUGGGUAACCUGCCCUGUACAGGGGGAGUAACAGCUGGAAACGGCUGCUAAUACCGCAUAAGCGCACGAGGAGACAUCUCCUUGUGUGAAAAACUCCGGUGGUACAGGAUGGGCCCGCGUCUGAUUAGCUGGUUGGCAGGGUAACGGCCCACCAAGCCUUCGAUGGAUAGGGGUUCUGAGAGGAAGGUCCCCCACAUUGGAACUGAGACACGGUCCAAACUCCUACGGGAGGCAGCAUG